CCUCAAGCAGGAAAAAUGUAGCUGAAAACGUUUCCAGGUUGUCUGUUUUCUGUAUUUGAAGUCCAAAAAUGCCUUCACACGGUUAAUGGUCUUAUCUCCUUUUUGUGUCUUUCUAAAACCCUGGGAAUAUGAUCCUUCUUUUAUGUUUGUUUUCUCUUCGGCCUUUAUCGGUAAUAUUUAUUCUUAUGAUUUUUUUAGAUGUUUUGAUUGUUUUUGUUUUCUGUUUAACUUUGAUACUUCUCCUUUGAUGAUGUAUGGUUUUAUCUUGGGUUUGAUUCCCUUCAAAACUAUUUUGAUGCCCUAAUUGAUGUGAAGACUAUCGACUAUCAAGUUGAGGUUUGUUUGAUGUUACGUUUGAGAUGUGCCACAAGCAUGGCAUGAUGCAUCGGGAUCUUAAGCCGGAAAACUUUCUAUUUGCAAAAACUACAACUUUGAAGACUAUAGAUUUUGGGUUGUUAGUGUUCUUUAAACCAGGGGAAAGAUUUAAUGAGAUAGUUGGAAGUCCAUAUUACAUGGCUCCCUCUGAGGUAUUGAAGCGGAAUUAUAGGCUAGAAGUAGAUAUCUGGAGUGUUGGAGUAAUUUUAUACAUCUUACUUUGUGGUGUUCCACCAUUUUGUGCAGUUCGGCAACAACAAGUUAUAAUAACUAAAAAGAAUGCCAGUAAACUGGUUGGCAUUCUUCAUGAGUUUGGAACCUCAAAAGAUUGUCAUCCUAUGCCAUGGUCUUCAACCCACCAAGGAAGACAAUAUCAUGAUAAAUCUUGCUUCUGCUCUAGAGAAUGCAGGAUUCAGUUCUUUCCGCUUUGACUUCAGUGGAAAUAGAUACUUCUUAAGGAGCUGAAAUAUUCACCAAAUUGAUAACUUUAUUUGAUUUUUGUAGUUUUUCGGUAUUCAUUAGGCCAAAGUGUGAAUGAAGUUACAAAAGAAAACUUUGAGACAUGUAACACGAUCAAUGUUUUGGCAACAUAUGAGAAUGUUAACACAACGGUGCCAUUGAGAAAAGGUUAUGAUGGCAAAGCACUUGCUCCAACUAUAGCACCUAAGGCUGUGGUUGGAUCUGAUGAAAACAUUGUCACAGUUCCAAACUCUCCUUCAUCAAAGAAGAGCACACAUCUUUCAACUGGAACUGUCAAUUAUUCUGUAAAGAAUGCACUUCAGUUGAUUUAUAUUGCUGUUAUGGUUGAUGCAUAUUUUAGUGUAAUGAAUGUGACUAAUGGAAAAAAGACAUUCUCUCUAGCUUUAAUAAAUACGACCAUUUAGUUUAACAUCUGUUUAUCUAUAAACCCUACUCUAUGUAAGGUUUAAUUUUGUAUGAUCUGUAGUUUAUUCUGUCAACGAAGGUACAAAAUUUUCAAAGCUGGAGCAUGGAGGAGGCAUACAGUGGUUGUUACGGAGGAUAGAAAUUCCUUGGCCUUUGGAUGGGACAAGCGUGGACAGCUAGGUUCGGGUCUUGUGAGAAAUGGUAUGUUUUUUCAAUUAUCUAUAAAAUUCUGCAGUUUUUUGCUAAUAUAUUUUAAAUUACACCCAUUGUUUGCUUGAAUGCUAACCUGCUCCAUGUUUUUUAUUGCCAUCGUUCUGAUUUUCAUGAGUGGAAAUGUAGUAAAGCUUUCGAUAUUUGGGUAUUCAAUGAUGGAAUAGAAGUUAUGGUGGAAUGAGUAGAAUGAAAUUGUAUUCUUCCAAUUUGUCCUUAUUAUACAGAACUCAUGGUCAUGACUGUUCAAGAGGAUUCUUUAGUAAGAAUUGUUCCAGCAGUUAAGGAAGAGAACAGAAACAAGCUUCGAGAUGCUGCCCAAGAGGAACCAUCUGUGAGACAUGGAGUUUGUGACGUGAGGCAGAUAGAACUUAUGAGAAAUAAGUUUAUCAUAAAGGAGGUGAAAUAUGUUUCAG